rnacentral:rRNA from 1 species
UACAGAGGGGGCAAGCGUUGUUCGGAAUUAUUGGGCGUAAAGGGCGCGUAGGCGGCCUGUUAAGUCGAACGUGAAAUCCCCGGGCUCAACCCGGGAACUGCGUCCGAUACUGGCAGGCUUGAAUCCGGGAGAGGGAUGCGGAAUUCCAGGUGUAGCGGUGAAAUGCGUAGAUAUCUGGAGGAACACCGGUGGCGAAGGCGGCAUCCUGGACCGGCAUUGACGCUGAGGCGCGAAAGCCAGGGGAGCAAACGGG